rnacentral:lncRNA from 1 species
CACCCUUCUUCCUGACCACAUUUUAGGUUUUCUGUCCAUGACCUGACUUGGUUCCAGGGCUUUUCUCCCUGACCACAACAUGGGCCACAUUUCUGGCCAUAGAUGGUGCAGAUCCAGCUCAGCACAUCCAGUGAUCUCUGGUGUUACCUCCUCUGGGAUGGAGACACAGAGUGCAACUGGGAGGAAAAUGCAGGGCAGGGCUGUCUCCAGGGAGAUUCCAUGCCUGGAAGGUAUGGGCAUGGCUUCCUGGGCUCUUUAGGGCCCUUUGUGCUUGGUCCAGUUUAGGCUCUUCUAGAGAGAUGGCCUGGAAAGUUCCGACCCAGGCUUGCUGCGGCCUCCACACAGGCCAGGCUGGGAGGGCAGAGGGCCUUUCUGCUGAGCGUGGAGGGGACGGAGCUGUGGCCUCCUACUGGAGUCUGCCCUGCUGCCCUGGUGGGGGGUGUUGCUUGAAGAGGUUCCCCAGCAACCAGCCCCCUUAUAUAACCUGCACAUCGCAUCGGCGUGACUCCAGGUGCCGUGGGAGGCAGCGUGGGGGUGAGCACAGGGGCUUGAACGAGCCUCGAGCUUCCUAGGGUGCUGCUGCUCCUCUUGUUGCAUCCCAGCGUCAUCCUGCGUCUGCCAGCUCGGUCACCCACUUACCUAUCAGAAUACAUUAAGUGACAAUGCAGACUUAAAUAACUCCCGCAGGUGAUAGGCCUGCCAUGGAGCCCUCUACAGCCAGGCCCUCCUGUGCCUGCCAAGGUGAGGCAGGGAGGGCGAGGUCCAGAGGAAGGACAGGCCGUGCCUGAGGAACAGCACUGGCUGCUUUGGCCACGAGGGUAGAGCCAGGCCAGGCGUUGGGAGGAGUGCAUGGCAGGGUUAGGUCUCGGCCCAGGCUUUGGUACACGGCACCUUAGGGACCACAGCCAGGUUUGGAAUGAAGGUGGGUGCCCUGGUGCCGUCUGGAUGGGAAGUUUACCCCUGUGCAGAGCACCUGAGACUCUGCAGCCAGCUCAUGCUGGCUUUGCCCAGUGACUGGGUGGGCAGGAAAACUGAACAGGGUCAGCGCCUCUGUGACUGAGCACGCUGAGAGGAUAGCAGCUGCCCAGCAUGGGGUGUGCUGGCUGUGCGCACCUGCUUCUCACAGGGCCCUCAGGAUUGGGUGGUCACUCAGCCCCCGGGCAAAGAUGAGAGAGGAACUUGGCUUCGCACCCCCUGUAUUCCUUCAUUUGUCCCCUGAGACAGAUGCCAUCUGAUUGCUCUGCCUCCCAAAUGACUUGCAGUGCUUCAAAAGUGGUUGAAGAUAUUUCUGGGUGGGGAAAGGGAUUCUGCUCUUCAGAAUCUGGAGUUGGAGGACACCCUGGGAGAAGUCCUGAGCGGGUCCCCAUGGGUCCUUCCACACCGGAGACAGCAGAGCUGUACCUGCCAUCGCCAGCUUUUCCUGCCGGGGUGAGGAGCCCAGACAUUUCCAUGCUGCUUUACAGUCACAGAUGGCUUCCCUGCCCAGGGCUGGCUGCUUCUAAUUUCGGCUGCCGGAGGCUCCUUGCUCGCUCACUCGCUCUCUUUUUUUAAUUCCAUGUUUAUUUAAAGCCAGAUUUUGAAAUGUUGUCUUCAACCCUAAAAUCUGACUUUUUCUUCUUGCAACAGAUCCUAAAACCCCCUUAGUACCCAAAGGUGGGGGAACUUUUGAAGACAGAUCCAACUGCCCCCUUGUACCACACUGUGAGUAAACAUUUGGACGGUCGACUGGUGUCCCCUUAGAGCAGUUCAGUAGAGUCAACACAGAGCACAGGAUGUCCCCUGUAUAUGGCCUGUGUUUACAGAUAAACAAGGAGAGAUGGUGUGGGUAACUCCAGUGAAGUGCAAGAAGCACCCCGUGCCUACUGCUGGCUGUCUGGUCUGUCCUGUCAUUUCCUGUCACAGUCAUUGUGCAGUAGGGCCAGGCACGGCCCAGGCAUGUGACUCCUGGAGGUAGGACAGGGACGAGAUGGGCAGUUCCGGCUGGAGGGGUAGCACCGGUGCUCAGGUGGGCUGUGAGUCUCCCAUCUCCCUCUUCCCAGCAGUUGAUGCUUUCUUCACCCAACCUGAAAGCCACACAGUUUCUUCUUGCUCCCUGAGAAAGCUCAUCCAGAAGAGGUCUUCCAGAUUAGAAUAGGGAGUAGGACAUGUGUCCACUCACGUAUGGACAACACACUGGACUGCUCCAACAGGAACACACUGGACAGCAGCUCAGCCUUUAUUUGUUCAGUGUCAAACACGGCAGUGGGAUUCUUCCCCUGGUUGUGGGACCCUAAAGACUCAGCCCAUGGGUGCAGGUGUUCUGGAAACACGAGGGUCUCUUGCCUUUGACACACUACAGUGCUGCCCUUCUGCAGCUUAUGCUAGAAUGUACUUGAAGGGCCUUGAAGAAAGGGGGACCAUUUUGGGGGGCUACAGAGCAGAGACAACACCAGCUCCCAGGAGUGUGAGUGGGGUGGGCAACAGCAGGAGGAAGGAGUGUAUUUACCUGGCCAGAUGCUCCUGAGGAAACAGGCUGGAGGCUCAUGUGCUUAAAGUGGGGCCCCAGCGCAGCAGACUGGGCCACAGGGCUGCCCUCGGGACUGGAGCUAGUGUGCUAAGGGUGUGCAGGCUGGGACAGCUGCCCAAGGGCUGCUGGGGACACUGGCCAAGUCCCUGCAUGGAUGCUCUGCCAAUCUCCAUCCAAACUAAUGCUGGAGCUAUGGGGGGCCAGAGAGGGGUAGGUGCCAUUUCUAGUGAGGGUCCAGCAGUUUCCCAAGGCUGUGGAUUCCUGCCAGGGCCUCUAUACCCUGAGAAGUACAGAGAGCUGGGAUGGUGUCCCUGGCAUGUCUGGUCAGAAACAGUAAGAUUUUGAGAAAAAGAGUGUGAGUGUUAAGCUUGAGAAUGUCACUUCCCAGCAGGCUCCUCCUCCUCCUCACAAAGCUGGAAGAGAGAUCUUUUUAGAGGUUCAUGGAAAACUUUAGCUGUUCCCUAGCUGUCCAGAUGAAAAGCAUAUUCCACCCCAGGGGGAAAACAGCACCUCUGAAUGAAUUCGGACAACAUUUUACCCUCAAGUUACGGGAGGUCCACUUGGUGUGACCUUUGCAAACGUCUCUCUGCUGCCAGCUGAAAGAAGAAUACUGCAAGGUUUGGCAGCUCGCCCCUGGAGUCUGCUGUUAGUUCUCACCCAGAUUUGGAGAUUUUUCCUUGUGGCUGCAGGAGCCAACAGAGUCCUUUGUGCCUCAGGACUCAGAGCACCAGAGCCCUGUUGUAAUUUCCCUUCCUUCUUUGGUUCCUAGAGUUCCCACAGGAAAACCCUGUGCUCUCGAUUCUGCAUCAGGAACAUAGAAGCCAAGGCUGCGGCAGGGACACAAGCUUGCUACUACAGGGCCUUAGUGCCACCUUCAAGGGAAGUGUUUCCUUGUGGUUGGGGCAGGUCUGGUUCUCUGAGUGGCUGUUGUCCCAGGAGGAGAGCCCGAGGGUGCUUGUGCUGGAAGGGACCCACCCUGGGGCUUCCAGCCUAGGUGUGGGACCCAGCAUCAGUGCAUUUGGGUUUUAGAAUAGGCUUUGCUUGGUGGGAGACGCAGCUUUAGCCUCAUGGCCCCUCACCUGGCAUCAGUCCUGCCACUCUGCCCGCCCCUGGCCCUGACUGGGAGGGGUGGUGAGCUUAACACUACACUGCCACCUGGUGGACAGCCAGAAAAAGGCGCUGUGGGGUACCAGCCCCAGAGUGGUGGGACAGGUGCUACGGCCAGUGGUUAGCAGGGACAAAGUGGGAGGCCACAGACUUGUGUGGGCAAGUGCAGGUGCAGAGCAGGUGUACUUGGUUUGUAGGACCAGGCUGGAAUCUGGACUCUGCUUCUGGAAAGUGCACCCUUCAAGCUGGCCAUUUCAGAAGGGAAGAGUAACACAUUCCCCUAGGGCCCAAGAGGAGACAGUGUGAGUUACGGUUCUGCCACGGAGCAGUGGAGUGAUUAGCCUGGACCUGCAAAAAGAAUGUCUGGGGAUGGCCUGUGAGCUUACCCUGCAGAAGUCUCCUGUUCACGUUUCCAAAGGGCCCCGGCCCUGUGACAACUUUUCUUUUAAAUGGAGCAAAACAUCGCCAGCAAGAAGUUAGCAGUUCCAUCCAGUCUCGUGGCACUUAGCGCACUCAUGGUGAGGGAUGGCCGCCAGCUCGACCUGGUCCUCAUCAUUUCCAUCAACCUGGAGGAGCCCCACAGCAUGAGCGGUCGUAUCCCAGCCCAGCCCAGCCUAGCCUGGCCACCGCCUGUCUGAGAAGUUGCCUGUCUAGAUGUUUUGUCUACAAGGCCACAUGGCACUACCUGCAAUGUCCGGCUUCUCACUGGGCAGCACAGUGAGGGUCCCCUGAGCCUUCACCCUGUAUGCUAAGUGAUGUUAAAACUGCAUGUGCUUGUGACAGUGUGAUCUUCACGUGCCAGCUGGUGGGUUUGGGGUAGACAUCUGGAUUUGGAACUGCUGGUUCACAUGAUGACCACCUCCAGCUUUUUCAAGACUUGGAGAAACGAUCUUGUGCAGUGGCCACACCACUUAACAUUCCCUCCAGCAGUGGACGAGGCUUCCGGUGUCUCCACAUCCUUACUAAUACUUAAUUUCCCUUUUUGUUUAUUUAUUUUGUCUCAAUUCUAGCUCUCAUAGUGGUUGUGAAGUGGAAUCUGUGGUUUUGAGUCAAAUGUCCCUGAUGACACACCUGAGCAUCCUC